rnacentral:lncRNA from 1 species
UAUUGCCUGCAUCUCAGGAAGCAGCAGCCCCCAGAGCAUCAAGGGGACGGCAACUGAUGUAAUCAGGAUCUCUAGGACAGAGAGGUGGCCAAGGAAAAAAUACAUGGGGGACUGCAGACGUUUAUCAACACAGACAAUCACGAUGAUGAGCAUAUUUCCCAUGACUGUCACUGAGUAGAGAAAGAAGAAAGUGGCAAAAAGAAUAUUGUGUUGUUCUUUGGAGCCAUGGAAGCCAAGUAGAUAAAAUUCAACAGCACUAGAAUAAUUCUUCAACAUUUAGUCCUGCGUCUUGUCUUUUAUGAAAUCUAAAAAACAAAGGGGAGUUCACAUGCUUCUAAAUUCAAAGGACUAAGUUUAUUCUCAGGCAGAGGAAAUAUCAUCUCUGCUCGUAGGCUCCACAUCAUGACAAGUGGAUUCAUCUUCUACUAUUCUCUGUACAAGGUUGAUGUUAAAUGUCUUAUGAAGAAAAUACAUAUGAAAAUACACACACACACAUAUAUAUAUGAAGAUGAGCAAUAAUUACCAAUACCACAUCCUAGGCAGGAAAACCUACCCACUCACCCCUGCAUGCACCCUAAUCUUUCUACUCACUGGCCCUUCUGCCUCCAACUCUGCUCUGACCUGCCACCCUGUCCACUUCCUGAUCACAAUGUGCUCGUUUAUACCACCAACCUUUCCCUAUUGAAUGCCCUAAACUAUCUUUUCUGCCUCUUACCUCCAUACCCUACAAAAUCCUGAGAAUCCCACCCAGAUAUGGUUACUUCUUUCCUUCCUCUCCUCUGAAUGUGGGCUCCAUUUGCCUUAGUUCACUUGAAGUUCUCACUUCAGUUAUCUUAAUCAUCAUUUCAGCCUGUCACUAGAGCCAGUUGGUAGGGAGGUGGGAUCUACCUGAAAAUUGUCAUAAAAUCAGAUCUAUAUUGAGACAAAGUAUUGAGUCUUUCCCUGUCUUCUGGGGAGUUGGCUCCCUGGAGUGGAGUAUCCACUUUCUUCCUCCUUGUUCUCAUCAUGAAAGCCAUCUCUGUGUCUCAUUUCAGUGACUGUGACUCCUCCUGGCAGGAAGAAUCUCAUUAGUUUCCAGUUGCUAACUUCUAGCUCUGAGAUUAUUCCUUUUGUCACCAGAUGAUAGCAGGGAGUAGGAGUCCAGAGGACUGAAGAGGAGGCUGGAACUUUCAUCCCCAACUGACAAUUUCCAUCCUGGCACCAAGAGACAAGAAAAUAAGCAACAUCCUCUGCCCUCCCUGUGUCUCAAAUCUCUAGUUUCAGCAAAGAGAUAAGACCGCCAAAAGGGCAGCCUGUCUCUAUUUACAACCAGCCAUGGUCUGCAUCCCAUGGAGAAGCUUGGAAAAGUCCCCAGAGACUAUCUGCUGUUUAUGUCCACCCAUUUUCUCCAGAGUCGUACCAAUAAGGAAAAGCAUAUCUGCUUAGUAUAUCUGGGUCCCUCCUCACCACAUGCAGGUCAUUGUUCAGAUGUCUCCAACCAGGAGCCCUCUCUAGUCACGCUCUCUAAAACAGUAUAAGCACAUCUUCACAUUCUAUCCUCCUAUUAGGCAGAACUUUCUUCUUAUUGGUUCUCACCAAUAGCUGAAAUUGAAGUACCUUUGUCUUUCUUGUUUACUACCACAUAUCCAGUGCCAAGAACAGUGUCUGACACAGGUUAUGUACUCUUUUCAUAUUUAUUCAAUAAAUUUAUCCAAACAAGUCAGUGAAUGCAUAAAGAGUAUCCACCCUGACCUGUUUUUCCUCCUGUUACAAAAUAAGACCCUCUCUUCACUCUUCACUAAAGCAUUGUCUGGUCAAUCUGUGCUCUCUCUCCCUGGAGAUCCCCUACAAAAUGGCAAGCUUACAUGAACAAGAAAUAAGGACAAAUGAGAGAGCAGGGUCUUAGGUCAUGACAGAGAGCUGUGUCUAUCACCAGCACUGAGAAGAGCUGAAUUGGGUCUCUGCUAUGGAGGGAGGAUUUUAUUUGAGCUCCUCCGUUACGCAGCUCCCCUAGCCCACGCUUCAUGCUCUAGUGAAGGUGUCCUCAUUUUAGACAGCAAUGAACCCCAGAACUUCCCAUGCUGAUCCUCCCUUACUCUUUCCUUCACAGACGGGAGCCCAGGCAGACACUCACCUCCAGAGAAAGGGUCUGAACUGGAAUGUUCUAUGGCUCUCCAGGGAUCAGCCUAGGCUACCUCCUUCCUGACUAGUACACAGCAUGCUCUGUGGCCCAGAGCAAGCUGCUGCUGUCCUCACUCUCAACACAGGAGAAAAUUGUCCCCAUACAAGUACUUAGAAAAAAAGUCCAAUAAUAAUAGUGCUCUGGAAUCCCAAUUGUCUCCUUCUGUCUCCCUCCCUCCUUCUUUCCUUCUCCUGUCAUCCCCUCAGAGAGUUAUUCACUGAGAAACUAAACUUGUCAAAUUCAGAGAAGCUCAAGGGAUGAAGUCAAGGAAAAGCCAGAGAAACUUUCACCUUUCCUCCCGAGACUAAUCAGAUUUAAAACAUGGAGAAGUUUUGUGUCAAGGGCAAACUUGAAGUCUCCUAGUCAGGGGUUUCUCAAUGCCCAGGCUGCCUUCUACCCAGUCCCCAAGUCCUGGUAAUCACCAAAUAGUCUGAGCUGUAAGCAGCCAGCCCCUGCUCUCUUCUGUGCCUCUACAUGUUGGACUCCCUGCUCAGCCAGGAGUCUGCUUCUUCCUCUCCCUUUGCACCCCCCACCCCUGUUGAUGCUCCCCGCACCAUGGUGCUUCUUUCCCCUCCCACUGCUGGUGCUCCCCCCUCCAUGAUGCUUUCUCAGCAAUCUUUCACUCUCUCAAAUAAAUCAAUAAAAUCUUUUUUUUUUUUAAAGUAGCCAACAACUAGCCUCUGUCAAAGAGUUUUUCAUCUGAAAGUUCUAAGAAUCCUACGUUACCCAACAAAUUUCUGCACUCCCCCUCUACAAGACACUCUCUGACUAUAGUUACCGAAACUCUGGUAAGAAAGAAAUAGGAUCUGCCCUGCAAACCAACUUCAGGAUCUGCUAAUGCCACAACCCGUUCCCAUCUCUGCAACACACACACACAAUUCCAACUGUGGCUCUUCAGCCACAGUUUCCUUUGUAGGUCUUCAAAUGCUAUCAGGGCACCUUCCUGAGCUACUUGAAGUGACAGGUAAGGGCAUAAGACCAACAUAGAGAACUGACAAAAAAAA